CCCGGGAAGGUAGCCCACAUUCACAGGACAGGAAGUGGGCGCCAGCCAGCCAGCUGGGUGACAACCAGAGCCUCUUUCAGACAACAGUGGAAAACAUGUCUCUUCUCUUCCAGCAGCUAAGGGAGGCAGAAUGGAGAAGGUUCAGGCUGGAGCACUGGGAGAGUUUCAAGAGGAAUGCGGGUCAUGCAAUAUUCUCAGAGUUGAAAAAGACAUCAUGGAUUGCAGCCCAAUCUGAUUCCAAGGGUGGUGAAGUUGUGCAUGCCUAGAAGACACAUAUCCAAUGAGGAAUCUUGACCAUUAAAUAACUGAUAUAUGUGAA